GCCUUCGUGGUGUAACAGUAAUACACUUGGCGCAUAUUCAGAAGGUCUAGGUUCGAAUCUCGGCGAGGGCA
rnacentral:tRNA from 1 species